rnacentral:rRNA from 1 species
AGCCAUUAGAUGAUACUAUAUGGUUUUACCUGCCCAAUGUUACGAUGAAUGGCCGCGGUACCCUGACCGUGUUAAGGUAGCGUAAUCAGUUGACCUUUAAAUGAGGUCAGGAAUGAAUGGAAUAACCGGGUUUAGCUGUCUCCAAACCAUUAUAUUGAAUUUACUAUCUAAGUGAAAAAGCUUAGGAUUUAAAAAAGGAGGAGAAGACCCUUAGAAUUUUUUUAAAAAGGAACAUAUUUUCCUUACAGUUUUAUUGGGGCGAUAAAGAAAUAAUUAAAACUUUCUUUUUUAACAAGCCGAUUGUAUUAAGUAAGAAUAAAUUACCUGAGGGAUAACAGCAUAAUUCUAUAACUGAGUUUGUGACCUCGAUGUUGGACUAGGAAACCAGUAGGCUAGCCGUUUACUGUGUUAGGUUCUGUUCGAACUUUUAUUCCU